GGUUGGUCCAAAGGUAGUGAGUUAUCUCAAAUGAUUGUUCACAAUCAGUUACAGGUGAACUCUUUGUUCUACUCUUUCCCCCCUUCUAACUACUGCACUCAACUAGUUUUAA
rnacentral:Y_RNA from 1 species